UCCAGGUUCGCUCUUGGCUUCUUCAGUCCACGGAAUUCUACACUCCGAUAUAUUGGAGUUUGGUACAACACAAUUCGUGAACAAACCGUUGUAUGGGUUCUUAACAGAGACCAUCCUAUCAACGAUAGCUCCGGAGUCCUCUCCAUCAACACUUCUGGAAACCUCCUUCUGCACCGCGGAAACACUCAUGUAUGGUCCACAAACGUUUCCAUCUCAUCAGCGAACGCUACUGUGGCUCAGCUGUUAGAUACCGGAAACCUAGUCUUGAUCCAAAACGAUGGCAACAGGGUGGUGUGGCAAGGCUUUGAUUAUCCCACAGAUAGUUUGAUUCCCUACAUGAAACUCGGACUGGAUCGGAGAACCGGUUUCAACAGGUUCCUAACUUCUUGGAAGUCCCCAACCGACCCAGGAACGGGGAAAAACUCGCUUACGAUUAACGCCAGUGGGUCUCCUCAAUUUUUUCUGUACCAGGGUUCAAAGCCGCUAUGGAGAUCCGGUAACUGGAACGGGUUCCGGUGGAGCGGUGUGCCGACGAUGAUGCACGGAACCAUAGUCAAUGUUAGCUUUCUGAACAAUCAAGAUGAAAUCUCUUAUAUGUAUUCCCUGAUCAACGUGUGGCUUCCCACGACGUUGACGAUCGACGUCGACGGAUAUAUCCAGCGGAACUCGUGGCUGGAAACAGAAGGCAAAUGGAUCAACUCCUGGACAGUCCCAACUGACAGGUGCGACAGGUACGGCAGGUGCGGAGUGAACGGCAACUGCGACAACAGCCGCGCCGAGUUUGAGUGCACGUGCCUGGCGGGGUUCGAGCCCAAGUCGCCACGUGACUGGUCCUUGAAAGACGGCUCAGCGGGAUGCCUGAGGAAAGAAGGAGCGAAGGUGUGCGGGAACGGGGAAGGGUUUGUGAAGGUGGAAGGUGCGAAGCCCCCAGAUACAUCGGUGGCACGUGUGAACACGAACAUGAGCUUGGAAGCGUGUAGAGAGGGGUGCCUGAAGGAGUGUUCUUGCAGUGGAUACGCGGCUGCAAAUGUGAGUGGAAGUGGGAGUGGGUGCUUGUCUUGGCAUGGGGACUUGGUGGAUACAAGAGUGUUUCCUGAAGGGGGCCAAGAUUUAUAUGUGCGUGUGGAUGCCAUCACUCUAGGUAUGCUAGCAUUUAAUUGUCAGGAUUCAUGAAUGAUUUAUCUCCCAGAUUUAUGAGAUCAUUUAUGAUGUGUUUUUUCUCGUGUAUUUUUUUAGCUGAAAAUCAAAAGCAGUCAAAAGGUUUCCUUGCGAAGAAGGGGAUGAUGGCAGUUUUGGUGGUGGGGGCUACUGUGAUUAUGGUUCUGUUGGUCUCCACAUUUUGGUUCUUAAGGAAGAAGAUGAAAGGUAAUCAAACAAAAAUUCUUAUGGUUCAUUUAAGCCUUCUAUCCAAUGUUUGUGUCUUGGGCAUGGAUUAACAUGAAGAGAUUAAUAUGAAAAGCCAAACAUUUCUAAGCUUAGUUACCUAGUGAAUUAAUCCCGGGUUGAGUCUUUUUUCCUUGCUUUCAUGGUAUUAAGGAAUUGUAUUAUUUCUAAAAAAAAUUUCCCAUUUAUUUUCCCCCACAAUCAAAAAAGCAUUAUUUAUUGUUAUACUUUCAUGGCAGGGAGAGGAAGACAAAACAAAAUGUUGUAUAAUUCGAGACUUGGUGCUACAUGGCUGCAAGACUCUCCAGGAGCUAAGGAGCAUGAUGAAAGUACAACCAAUUCUGAAUUACAAUUCUUUGAUCUGAACACCAUAGCUGCAGCCACAAAUAAUUUCUCUUCUGAGAACGAACUUGGACGUGGUGGUUUUGGCUCAGUUUAUAAGGUAGUCAGUCAUUCUCAAAUCUGUGAUGACUACUGAAACUGUUGGACUUUCUUUCAUUGCACAAACAUUACGGUAAUCUGAAUUUUCCAAACUGUGAAUAAGCUAAUUCUACAUGAUGAUUAUCAGGGUCAACUAUCUAAUGGACAAGAAAUAGCUGUGAAAAAAUUAUCAAAGGAUUCAGGACAAGGAAAAGAAGAAUUUAAGAAUGAAGCAACACUUAUUGCAAAACUCCAACACGUGAAUCUUGUGAGGCUUUUGGGUUGUUGCAUUACAGAAGAAGAGAAGAUGUUAGUCUAUGAGUACUUGCCAAACAAAAGUUUAGACUCUUUCAUUUUCGGUAUGUACCAUUUUUUUUCUGCCAUUUCCAUUUCUUUAAUCUUCUAAGGUUCUUGCAUAAUCACUUAGAGAAGUUAUUUGCCUAAUAAAAAUCAUUAUUAGUAUAUCCUAAUAUUGUUUUACUAAUUGAUAUUUUAUAUAUCUUUGGGCCAGAUGAAACAAAGAAGUCAUUGUUAGAUUGGAGGAAACGCUUUGAAAUUAUUGUCGGAAUUGCUCGAGGAAUCUUAUAUCUUCAUGAGGACUCUAGAUUAAGAAUCAUACACAGAGAUCUAAAAGCAAGCAAUGUUCUACUCGAUGCCGAAAUGUUUCCAAAAAUUUCAGAUUUUGGCUUGGCUAGAAUAUUUCGAGGAAAUCAAAUGGAAGGAAACACAAAUCGAGUAGUUGGAACAUAGUAAGUGUUAUGUUUGAGAUACCAAAGAAACGUAUUAGUUAAUAUGUUUUAAUAGUUUCGUUUAUUUGCUAUUACAGUGGUUACAUGUCACCUGAGUAUGCGAUGGAAGGGUUAUUUUCAACAAAAUCCGACGUCUAUAGCUUCGGAGUUUUGUUGUUAGAGAUUAUUACUGGGAGAAAAAAUAGCACUUACUAUCAAGACAAUCCAUCCAUGAGCUUAAUUGGAAAUGUGAGUGAGUUGAAUGUGUGUUGCAUUUCCUUUUUCUUUUCAUUCUUUACAAUAAGCUAAUAAUGUUAAAAUUCUCAGGUUUGGAACCUAUGGGAAGAAGACAAAGCCUUGGAUUUAAUCGAUCCGUCACUAGAAAAGUCAUACCCUGCAGAUGAAGUAUUGAGAUGCAUCCAAAUUGGGCUCUUAUGUGUCCAAGAAUCUAUAACGGAUCGACCUACCAUGCUGACUAUAAUUUUCAUGUUGGGUAACAACUCUGCUCUUUCUUUUCCUAAACGGCCUGCAUUUAUUUCAAAAACAACUCACAAGGGUGAAGAUCUAUCAUGCUCUGGUGAGGGACUUUUAUCUGUAAAUAAUGUGACCAUGACUGUGCUUCAACCUCGCUAAAUGCUUACACUCUCACAUGUUGUAUGUUUAUCCUCCAUGACAAUGAACACUACAAGAAAAAAGCCUUUCAUUGACUGUUUUUCACCAUCAUGGUAUGGUAUAUCUGUCAAGGUAUGUUACUAUUUAUAUAUGUCAUCUAUGCUAGUGUCAAGAAAAGUUUAAAGCUGUCUUGACAUUUACAUAUGUUAAGGUUGUUUCUAUUUCUACCAAUGAUGGAAUCUUUGUUAGUAUGACAUAUGUCAAUUUUCUUUCACUUUUGUCGAGGUUGGAUUCAACAUAUGUCAAGAUUUCUUAAUCUUAUGUCAAGGUUAACUUGCUCUUCUGUUAAGGUUGCUACAACAAAUGUCAAGGAUAAGUAUAAUAUGUCAAGGUUUCUAGCUAUUGCAAUGUCAAUGUUGGGCAUUGGCCAUCUGUCAAGGUUGCUUAUUUCAAAUUUAAUAUUAUUUUACUAUAAUUUUUAGUUUUAAUGGAAAAUGAACCUAUUACCAUAUGAAACUUGUUUCCAAAUUAAAUUUGAUACAUAUUUAAUUAUGAUAAUAAUAACUAAGUCCUAAAACAAUGUAAAUAAACCAUUACUCAAGGGGAAAAAUCUUUUUUCUACUUACUCUCUAUUUUCUAUAUACAAAAAAAAAAAAAAAAAAAACUAAUUGCAAACAUUCAAUUAAGAUAAUAUACAAACUUAAAUUGAAAAGUACAAUACUAUCUUCAUAAGAGGUGGUCACUAAUUCUUCAUCAUCUUCUUCUUUUUGCUAUAUUUCUUGAAUACCUAGUAGGAUAGACACAACAUUAAUAGAAAAGUAAGCAACAAGUAUAAAAAUAGCAUUUUUCAAAUUAUAAGGUACUUUCAAUUGCAAGAAUACAUUAAACAUACAUGCAAUUUGUAGAUACCAUAUAUCUAGCAUUAAUCUUCAAGCCCGACCCUCUAGAAAGACCCCAAAAUUGUCAACACCUCUAUCUCAAACCUAUGAUAGAAAAAAAAACGAUGUUAACAAAAAGAAAAGCUCAAAUUGUGAAAUUAGAUGUCUAACUACAAUGAAAUAUUUUUAAGAUUGAAUUCUAAGUUUAAUUAUUGUGUUUUUAUAUUAUGGACUUAAAUAACUAUAAUAGUAUACUUCUUUUUAAUUUCUAAAAGGAAUGCAAAAAGGAAAAGAGAAAACAAAAGUUUCAAAUAUAUCUUUCAUGUUAUUUUGGCUUCUAAAUAGAUAAAAACUCACAUUAUCCAAGAAAUUGUUAAAAUUAAAAUUGAGCAUAAAUUUUAAUCAUCUCAAUCAUAAAUAAUGAAAUAUCUAAAUUCAAAUUCAUAGAAACCACACUAACUAUUAAUUUCAUGCACCAAAUGCAUCUAAUCUUAACAAAAUAAAAAAUCAAGGAUAUUCUCCUUCAAUUCUAAUAGGAUAAUAGAUCUUAUGUGUGCAAAUUUUGUCUUUAUUUCAAGAAUUAAUAAAUGCACAAGCUAUCUAGUUGAGAGCUUAAAUCUGUAAAUUUUUAAAAGAAAUAAAUUAAUUAAAUAAACAAAAAAGGUCUAAGAAAUGGAAAAUCUCCAAAAUUAAAGAGAAAAUCAAGCACAUUUCAUAAAUGGGAAAGAGUUAUGCAAUAUGCUGCUAUUCUUUUCUAACUAAUGUGAAAUUGAAAACAAAUUUGACACAAAGUUGUGUGAGAAUACAUCUAUAAGGUUCAUAGAAAUAAUGUGUAGAUUGCCAUUUAAAGCUAUGUAAACUAAGAAUGACAAAUAGCAAAUUAUAUUAUUUAUAUCUAUCAUACCUUGUUAAAAUACCAUGUCAAAUAUUCCAUAGAUAGACAACUACGCAUGAGUAUGAAAAUGUUGUCUAGAUGUUUUUCUCAUAGGCAGCUAAUGCAUGAGUUCAUUGAAUUCAAAACUUAACAACAAUUAAAGCUGACAAAGCACCCAAUUAUCAAUUAUUAAAGAACUCUUAAUGGGAGCAAAAACUAAAACUAAUAAAGUAACUAAUAACAAAAUAUAAGAGUUGCAUUGGUACCCAAUAUAAUGUUCUUCCUAAUGUAAUUGUGCUCAUUAAAACAAAAAACUUCACGGCAUAAAUUAAUUGAAGACCCCGUACAAGCAACAAGAAAAUACUUCAUACCAUUAUAGUGGUAAUUAAGGAUUAUAGAAACAAUUUUAGUUGGCUUGUGACUAUGAAUCGAAGAAUUAAAAUUUUGUGAGGGUUGAUUUAUUGCUUAUCAAUAAGAUAGCAUAUCAAUAUUUAACAAAAGAAAGAGUUUCAAGCAAUCAUGAAUCAUAACAUUAAAAUUUAGCCCUAAAAAGAGGGGAAAAAACAAAGAGAAAGAACCAAACCAAAGGAGCCCAACUAAAAAUUCAAGUGCAUAAAUAAGUAAAAUUAAAUAGUUAACCAUAUUAAAGAGAAAACCAUGUCCCAUUAUGCAAAUUGUUUUUGUGUGCCCAAAUAUACAGUUCUGUUUCUUCAAAUUGCAUUAAAAGUCCAAUGGUAUCUGUAAAGGAAAUAAUAGAGAUAAAAUUUAAAGGUAAUCUACUCAUAAUUAUUUCAAUUAACACAUCCAAAUAUUAUGGAUCAAUAGAGAAAUCAAUUUAAAGAAAACUAAACAUCAGCCUUUACUAGCAUAAAACGAAAACAAAAUUUUUUUUUUUAAAAAAAAAAAAUAAUUCAUUAGAUAUCAGAUUAUUUUUGGGGCAACAAAAUUGAGACACAUAAUUGCAUUAACCAUUGAUGCCUACAAACUCAAUUCGAAACAUAAAAAUGAAAUUGAACAUGAAUUUCAAGCUUCAAAAUUGCGAACCAAAAAAACACUUACAAAAUGUUAGAAAAGAAUGGGAAGAAAAUUUCUAAAAUAGGAUAUUCUAAGAUGCCUUUUUUUAGUUAUCUUUCUUAGUUUUUCUAUAAUCAAAGAGAGUAAAAAAGGAAAAGAAAAAGUGAAGAUGGAAGAGAAUUAGAUAAUAGAGUAAAAUUCACCAAUUAUCUUAAUUGCAAUAAUUUUCAAGAUUACCCUUAAGCCAUAUUUGACUCAUUUUUUUUUUCAAACUUUCCUCGCGUUUUAAAAUGAACUUCUUUACAAAUGGAAAAUCUCAUAACUUAACAUAAUAAAUGAUAUCAAAAUAGAGAAGUUUGAACAUAAGUCAAUAAUUUCUCUAUUGUGUUAUUGCUACGAAUAUAUUUUGCAUGAGUAUAUUAUUUGGAUUCAUAGAGAUAGAAAGAAACCGAACUCUGUUAUUAUGUUGAACAACAAAUUUUCCUAAAAGUUUAAGCUUAUAGGAUUUGAGAUCAAUAUGUGUUUUAUGUCUGUUAACACUCAACACAUAUUUCAAUAAAAAAUUUCAUGAACUCCUCAAACAUUUAUACUACAUACAACUUAGGGCACCAAAGAAUACGAGUAAAAGGAGUAUAUGCUAGAAGUCAUUAUUUCUAAUGUUUAGUGGAUUUAAUAUUUAUAUUAUUAAAAAUUAAUAUUUAUGUGAAUAAAAAAUAUCUCAACAUAAAAUUACAAAAUUUUAAUUAUUUCUAAAGAAAUUUAUUAAAUUUAGAAAUUUUAAAAUUUAGUUUUUAUUAUCUGAUUUACUAUUAAAUGCUUAUUAUUUUGGUUUUCUUUAUUUUUUCAAUGGUCUUUUUCCCAAAUUAUUUCAUAUAUCUAUAAUUUUGUCGAUCUUUGACACGUGGAUUAUCUUGGAAAAUGUUCUUAAUAACAAAGAAAUAUUCCUUCUUGUGAUGAGUAUGAACUAGAAUUCUCGUUUUUUAGCGAAUAGAGCUCCCCAAUUUGGUGAGGAAAUGAGAUAGUCACUCUUUUUUUUUUGUAGUUACUCGCAUUAUGUACUCAAAGUAUUUAUCCAAAUAUCCAAUACACUUACGAAACCACACUUUUUCAUUUCCAAAAUGUAACAUACGUGACUAUAGGCUUGCACACUUGAAAAGCAAUACUGACAUUUAACAUCGAAGGAUUUAAUUGUGGUCUUGUGUUUUUUUGAGGUCCUAUAAACAGGUGAAAACUUAAAAUAACAUUGACUUGACCAACUCAACAUGUGAUUACGUUGUAUACGUCAAUGUAGUCAAUAGAAUUUCUUUCCCUUGACUUGGCAUCGAGUACGCUAGUGCCAGCCUUAUCUUCCCAUGGGAACUUGAACAAUUUGAGCAAUUGGCCAUUGCCAACCACAUUUUUAAGUAAUGUCUUCUUCCACCCUUCAAAUAUCUUAAAAUCCAUUAAGUUUUAUGUAGAUAUCAUUUUCACUUUUAAACCUUACUUAUUAUCAUUAAGCUUUGUAACGUAGCCGUCACUCACAAGUUGCACCAAAAUUGAAGUUUAACUGUUGGGUAGGCGCAAUUUUGAAGUGAUCAAGCUAUGAUACAUUUAAUACCACUGCAACUUGGUCUCAUUCAUAAAUGUGGUGUGGAGAUAGUACCAUAGUUUUAAAAGGCGCAAGGCACACCUAAGGCACAAAAGUAUCCUAUAACUUAGGCACAAGGCACAACACAAAGCGCUCACAUGAGUGAAGUGAAACCUAACCUAGUAUGCAUAUCAAUUUUAUAAAAUAUGAUACAAAACUCAAUCCAAUCAAUAAAAAAUUUAAUACUUUAAAAGAAGUAUUCAACAAAAAAAUAUAUGUAAUAAAAUUAUGUAGAUUUUAAUAUACAAUUAGAAAUUUCAAGAAUAAAAGUGUUUAAAAAUGAAAAGUAAAGUAGACAAGGCACACCUCUUCAACAAGGCACAUGUCUUGGCAAGCAAUGUACUAUAGCUAGGGAGUGGUUGUGCUUUGAGCCUAACCGUGCUUUAAGCACGCCUUUUAAAACUAUGGUUUGGUGACCAUUUUAAAAAACAAUUCUGAAAAAUAGUUUUUGAGAACAGUUUUUGAAAACUAUUCUCUGAUUCUUGUAGAUUAAUAAAAGUAUAUUUGGAAACCUAAAAUGUUUUUAUCUUGUUUUAAAUAUUUUUAAAUAUGUUUUAAAAGUAUUUUUAUAUCUAGUAUUUUAUUUUUAAUCAUUUUACAUGUUUGUAUAAUUAUUUCUUAAAACAAUUAUAAAAAAAACAAGUGAAAAAGUCAGAAAAUAAUUUUUAGUUGUCAAACAAUUUUUCUAUGUUUUUUGUUCUAGAAAACAAAAAACUAUUUUCAAAACCGGUUCCCAAACAUGCCUUUAAUAUGGGGUUGAGUGUUUUUUUUUUCUUGCUUUCAAGAUAUUAAGGAUUUAUAUUCUUAAUUUUUUUUCCCAUCUAUUUUCCCCACAAUCAAAUAAGCAUUAUUUAUUGUUAUACUUCCAUGACAAGGAAAGAAAGACAAAACAAAAUGUUGUAUAAUUUGAGACUUGGUGCUACAUGGCUGCAAGACUCUCUAGGAGAUAAGGAGCAUGAAGAAAGUACAACCAAUUCUGAAUUACAAUUCUUUGAUAUGAACACCAUAGCUACAGCCACAAAUAAUUUCUCUUCUAAGAACGAACUUGGAUGUGGUGGUUUUGGCUCAGUUUAUAAGGUAGUUAGUCAUUCUCAAAUUUAUGAUGACAUUGCACAAGUAUCACGCUAAGCUGAAUUUUCCAUAAACUAAUUCUACAUGAUGAUUACCAGGGUCAACUAUCUAAUGGAAAAGAAAUAACUAUGAAAAGAUUAUCAAAGGAUUCGGGACAGGGAAAAAAAGAAUUUAAGAAUGAAGUAACACUUAUUGCUAAACUCCAACACAUAAAUCUUAUGAGGCUUUUGGGUUGUUGCAUUCAAGGAAAAGAGAAGAUGUUCAUUUAUGGGUCCUUGCCAAACAAAAGUCUCGACUUUUUCAUUUUUAGUAUGUACCAUUUCUUUUCUAUCAUUUCCAUUUCUUUAAUCUUCUAAGGUUCUUGCAUAAUCACUUGGAGAAGUUAUUUGCCUAAUAAAAAUCAUUAUUAGUAUAUCCCAACUUUGUUUUACUGAUUGACAUUUUAUAUAUCUUUGGGCUAGAUGGAAAAAAAAAAAAAAAGUCAGUGUUAGAUUGGAGAAAACGCUUUGAAAUUAUUAUGGGAAUUGCUCAAGGAAUCUUAUAUCUUUAUGAGGACUCUAGAUUAAGAGUCAUACGUACACAGAGAUCUAAAAGCAAGCAAUGUUCUACUGGAUGUUGAAAUGCUUCCAAAAUUUUCAGAUUUUGGCAUGGCUGGAAUAUUUGGAGGAAAUCAAAUGGAAGGAAACACAAAUCGAGCAGUUGGAACAUAGUAAGUGUCAUGUUUGAGAUGCCAAAGAAACAAAAUAGUUAAUAUGUUUUAAUAGUUUCUUUUAUUUUCUAUUACAGUGGUUACAUAUCACCUGAGUAUACGAUGGAAGGGUUAUUUUCAACAAAAUUUGAUGUCUAUAAUUUCGGAGUUUUGUUGUUAGAGAUUGUUACUGGAAGAAAAAAUAGCACUUAUUAUCAAGAUAGUUCAUCUGUUAACUUAGUUGGAAAUGUAAAUGAGAAUGUGUGUUGCAUUACUUUUUUCUUUUCAUUCUUUAUAGUAAGUUAAUAAUGGUAAAAUUCUUAGUUUUGGAACCUAUGGGAAGAAGACAAAGCCUUGGAUAUAAUCGAUCUGUCGCUUGAGAAGUCAUACCUUGUAGAUGAAGUAUUGAGAUGCAUCCAAAUUGGGCUCUUAUGUGUGCAAAAAUUUACAAUAGAUCAACCUACCAUGUUGACAAUUAUUUUCAUCUUUGGUAACAACUCUUCUCUUCAUUUUCCUAAACGGACUACAUUUAUGUCAAAAACAACUCAUAGGGGGGAAGACCUAUCAUCCUAUGGUGAAGGACUUUUCUCUGUAAAUGAUGUGACCAUGACUUUGCUUCAACCUCGCUAAUUGCUUACACUCUCACAUGUUGUAAGUUUAUCCUCCAAGACAAUGAAUUGUGUACACAAUAUCACAAAGAGAACACCUUUUGAUUUAGUGAUCAUAGUUAGAUAAUUAUCCAACUCUGUAAAUGUAUGUUCAAAGAUAGGGCAAGAAUGGAAGCUUGUAGGUAUAGUCAAAUAAUCAAUUAAGUAUGAUUAGCUCUCAACAUUAAGGCCCUAAAAUCAUAUAAUUAAAAUGGUUCAAAUGGAGCUAAUAGAUCAAAUAGUUCCAUAUGGGUAAUGGAAGAGCUUGGAAUGAAGCAAUGCAUUGGUUCUUAUGCUAUGCCUGAUGAUGGAAAGACUGAAUGUUCAAUUGGUAAAUCUUCAAAUCUGCAAAAUAAUUGGAGACUAUCACGAGGCAUUUCUCAUAUUUUCCUUUUUGCUAGGAUGGUCAAAUCUGCUUUCUCUUUUAAAUUCAAGGCAUACUCGUGGUUCCUAAAAUGAAUUACUAGGGCCAUUCACUUUUCCUAUCAAGCAGUGAGUGACAAUUGGAAAAUAUGCCCAUUUGAAUUUUGGAUCGUUGGUUGCCUUUACCAUAAGGCAUCUUAGUGUUGUAUUGAUUCCUGAAGUAGUCAAUAAAUGAAAAGAAGUUUUUCUAUUUUGGGCAUGGCACAUGAUAUCAAAUUUGGCAGUAUAUGGAUGUUUAGUAUAUGAGCAUCUUUAUUGCAAAUGAUUUUACAAAUCUUCAGUACAUUCUUCAUCGGAUUUCUACUUUUGAUCUAUUAAAUACUGUAGAUGGUCGAACAUGGGUGCCAACUACAAGGUAUGACUUCAGAUCCAAGACAUCUAAAAUUCAAAGUUAAGAAUUGAUUAUGUGAAAUCAAGGGGAAAAAUAUCAUUGGGAAAUGAAAACAAUUUUGAGAAAUGAUAAUUACAAAGACUUUAAAGAGUGAAAAGUUGAUUGACCUUGGGUAUAGUUGGACAAUCCAACCGAUUAUACUAUCAUCGAGUUAGGUUGGGAGAGGGAGAGCCAACAUAUUCAUAACUUUAAGAUGAAAAAUGGUUUAGUUUAAGGACCUCAGGGCAUCCCUAAUUUGGUUGGUUUUUAGUACUGACUAAUGGUAAGAUUUUCCUCUUUUUUUUCUUUACUUUUUUUCCAAUCUCAUUGACAAAUGAGUGACAAUGAGUGUUAAAAGAAUAAUUAAAGAGACAACAUUACUUCAAGGCGGGGCACAAGGGAAGAAAGACAACAAAAAGUGUUAUAAUUUGAGUUUUAUUGCUACAUGCCUCAAGAAUUAGUCCCCAAGAACAAAGGAGUGAAGUGUAAAUAGUGUAAAUUCUAAAUUAUCAAGGAAUUCAAGAUAAGGAGUAGAAGAAUUAAUAUAAGAAAACAUGAAUAUAAGGAUCCUGUGAAGUUCUUAGGUUGUUGCAUAUAAGGAGAAGAUAAAGAUGUUAGUCUAAGAAUACUUAUUGAACAAUAGUUUGAACUCUUUUAUUUUCAUCCUAUCUUUUUAUUUUAUUUUAUUUUUUUAUUUUGACAAUUUCUAAAUCUCUUCAUCUCUUUUGCUUGUGAUCUCACCGUUAUCACAUGAAAAAUUUGUUUUACAUUAAAACUAUUGUGGACCCGCAUUUUUCACGUGCGCCCCCACUCGAUCGGCGAGACUCGCUUUUUAUUUGUGAAAAAUUAAUUUUUGGAAAAAAGUUGGAGUCGCCACUUAUUUUAUUUUUAUUUUUAAAGGGAAAAUAAAACAAGAAAUAAAACCCUAAAAAAUGACUCCAUAAUUUUUGGAAAAGCGUGUCUUUGAAAAACCAAGUCUCGGUCCGAGGAUCAGGUUACCUAUUGGGAAGGUACCUCUAAGAGGUAGCACCCCUUUAAGCCCUAUAAGGGUCUCUACUAACUAAGUUGAGGGAAAUGUGACAAUUAAUUGGUUAAUUAUAAGUACCUAAGUAGGCUAGGUGAUUCAAAAAAAAAUAGCAUGCCAAACGAAAUCAAAUCACAAUAAAGGAGAGUUAGGGUACAUACCUGGACUGCCUCUCAAGCGUUAUCACAAGACAUCAAAGUUAGUAUAGAGAUAUAGCACGCAACAUGCAUCUUAUCCAAGCAAGUCAAACAUACAUCUAAGCACCCAAGGAUUAAAUCAAAACAUGGAUAUAGCUCAUGAUAGCAUGCAUUUUCAUAGAAUUUUGGAAUUAGAGGAUAGAGAACGUACUUGGAUAGCAAGUAUAUUUUAUAAGAUUCCUCGAAAAAUGCUAGAUUGGUUAGGGCAAGCAUAAAUUAUAUGAAAUAUCCAUUAUGUCUAAUAUACAGUUUCAAAGCCAAAAUUGAGCUAAGACAAAUUAAAUGACUCCAAAAAUAAUAACAAUUUCAAGUAAGGUAUAAAACCAUCAACAUGCGGUUAGAAAAUGAAGCAUCAUAAAACAAUUUCUAAAAAAAUGGCUUAGAGUGGAAUUUGAUUACAAAAAAUUUCAGGAAACAACUCCUACACACCUAGAUUAAUAUACCGAAAGCCAAACACUCAUUCAAAAGACAGAUUAUCGCAAAGGCACCUAAAGGUUCUACAAAGUCCAGAUUAGAUAAGGAAAAGUGACGUGCAUAAAUGAAUUUUUUAAAACUAAUAAAUGAUCAUAUAAAAUCAUUAAAAAGAAAUCAUACAUAUUUCAAAAUGUCUAUAUCACAUAAAAAAUAAAUUCGGGGUCGAAUAGUACUUACAAAUAUUUUUAAAACUAUAAAUCUAAUCAGAUGUACAAACUCCAGCAUGCGCAGUAGGCACAACUUUGAAAAAUCAUAUCUCCCUCAAAAAUGCAUAUUUUCUAAUAUUUUAUGUGUCUAAAAUCAAUUUCAAGAAGCUUAUAAUUGAGAAAAAAAUAUUGAAUCAAUUUUAAAAAGUCCUCUAGUAUUUUAUUUUUUCCAAAAGAUCUUGGGUGUCCAGAACUAUGUGAAAACGGAGUCCCCCUAAAGACUCAUUUAUAUCUUCUAUCUCAGAAUGACUUUCUAACUCAAACAAAACCUCAAAUUCAAGUUCAAGAAGUGAGGAAAGUCAUAAAAUUUCUGGAAAUUUUUUACAGAUAUCCUAAAGUUUUCAAAAUGAAUUUUUGAAGUUGAAGGGUCAGUGGUUUGAUGAAAACUGCAGCAAAGAUUAAAUCAUUUAAUACCUAAGAUGGGUAGUUCUUUUCUUUUUAACAAACCGAUUUUAGAUCAAGAAAUCUCAGUAGGAAGGGGUCUCAACAGGUAUACUGAUGUUAUAGCUGCACCUGAGAUGACAAAGUCUUGCGUAUUUUGUAGGAAGAUAAUCAUAAACAGGGUGCACAAUGGGGAAUUCUUGUCAGAAUGGUAGCUACUCCCUUACGUGUUGAAGCUGAUGUAUAAUAUAAUUUCCCCACUAGCUGCCACCAUCCCUACAUAUCUAUCACUAUCAUCCAGCCCUGAUCCCAAGGGACCCACCAUUUGAAGUCUCAUUUAAAAAAAAAACAUAAAUUUUAUGCUGCAAUCUGGAUCUAAUUCCACUACCCUUUUGACCACUGAAGUUGUGCAAUGUACGAAUGUUUUGUCCACCAAUCUGCUGCUCUCUCUUUUAAGUGUACACCACUCUUAUAAAUCUCAUGCACAACUUCCUCUUUGAGUGUAUACACCCUCUCUCUCAAGCACAAAUUAGAACACGAAACCAAUUAUAGAACAAAGUGAUAAUAUCACUGAGUAAGGAGUUCUCAACAAACAUACUGAGGAACGCUCUCUUCUGGCAAGGAGAUCCCACUGGUAUGUCGUCUGAGAUUUCUUCAACCGCCCUCUCCUUCUUCUCCACCAACAGCUUCUCACUAGAAAGUCUUCUCUGAAACUCCAAUUUUUCCGCCUCUCUCUCUUUUUUUUUUUUUUUUUUCUUCUAUGUGCUCAAAGUUCUCCCCCCAAAACCUAUCUGUUAUAGCUUUUUAUAGCAAAUAACAGUCCUUCUACGUGAGGAGUCUUCCUCUCUCCAAAUUUUAUCUUAUGCACCGGAAAAACUCAUUUUUUUUUAAAUUUCAAACAAUACCAAUCCACGCAUAUCACCUACAAUCCAUGCAUAUCAUUUAAAGAGUUUUACCGUUUUCAAAAACUUCUUCAAUGGUAGACUUCUUCCAUAAAAAUUUCAAAUUAUUGAAUUAAAUAAUAAAAUAAAUAAUAAAUAAUAAAAUAAAUAAAUAAAUCGAAGAAUAUAAAAUGAUAAUAAUAGAUAAAUGAAUAAAUAACAAGAUAAUAAACAAAUAAGUAAGAAUACUAAAUAACUAAAUAACUAAAAAUGAUUGAUAAUAAUGAAAAAAUAUUAAAAUAAAUGAAUAAAUAAAACCAUAAUAAAUGAUCAAAUAAAAGUGGUUAGUAAUAAUAAAAAAAUAAAAAUAAAUAAAUAAGUAAAUGAGAUAAAUGAGUCAUACAACCAUACAAGUCAUACUAAAAAAAAGACUAAUGGGCCAAGUGGGCCUGAGUGAACUUAGACAGGUCUGGGGUGUCUAAAUAGACCAAGUGUAUCUAAAUAGGCUUAGGGUGCCUAAAUGGGUCAAGGGUGCCUAAGUAAAGUCUAGUCUAAAUCAAGACUACCGAGGAUCACAAUAAAGGGGCGGAUAAUCCCUUAACCAAAGUCUCCGAGGUGACUCAGAAAAAGGUAAGUCGUACGAGUAGUAAUGGGCAACCAAGGAACUACCGUGGAGCACUGGAAGUGAAUUUAAAGACAUGUGCUAAAAGGACAAAAUUGAGGGUCUACAACUAUAUAAUAGUAUUUUAAUAUGGUGUCAGAGUCUCAUUUGGUGUGAGAUCAUGUAUUCAAAUCUAAUUGUAUAUUUAUUUUCCAAUUUGUAGUUGUUUGCCUAUUGGGGGUCACACGCGAGGAAGGGUAUUAAAAACAUAAUAUAGCUUACGAACUCAAAUCUUAUAAGUAGAAAAAUUAUAAUUUGUUUAAACCUUUAGAAAACUUGUAGUUUAACAUGAUUAAACUUUCAUAUUUUUUGUUUUGAUGAGACAAAAAUGUCAAUUUUAGAUUGGAUAAAAAAUUUCAAAAUUAUUGUUGAAAUUUCUUAAGGACUUUUAACUUAUGUUUGGUUUCUUGAAAAUAAUAUGAAACAAAAUUAUAAGAAAAUGAUUCCCUCUUGUUUAACUUAUUAUAGAAAAUAUUAUAAAAAUUUAAAUAUAAUUAAAAUGAGUAAGAAAUUAAUGUAUUUUUAAAUUAUUUAAUCUUUAUAUAGAAGAGAAAAAACUAUUUUUUUUUUUUUUUCACUUUUUCCUUCUAUUUUCACUUAGUGUUUUCUAUCCCUUACAUUUUUCGUCAAAUCUUCCAAGAACCAAAUAUAGGGUUAUAUCUUCAUCAAGACUUAAACCAUACAUAGCGAUAUAAAAGCAAGCAAUUAAUAUUCUACUAUAUACUAAAAUGAUUCCAAAAAUUUCAGAUAGAUUUUGGUAUGGCUAAAAGAUUUGGAGGGAACCAAAUAGAAGGAAACACAAAUCUGGUGAGGUUGGAACAUGGUUAGUGUCAUGCACCAAAUGUCAAAACACAACAUUGAACAAAUCUUUCCAGUUUGUUUUAUUUGUCACUGCAGCAGCUAUAUAUAACUUUUGUGUCAUCUGAGUAAGUAAUGGAAGGGUUAUUUUCAAUAAAAUAUGAAGUUUAUAGCUUUGGAGUUUUGCUAUUAGAAAUUAUUUUGGGAGAAAAAACAAUUAAUGCUCACUACCAUGAUAAUCCCUCCUUGAACUUGGCUGGACAUGUGAGUUACUUGAAUUUCUUAUAGCUUACUUCUUCUUCACUGUAAGCUGAUGCUAUAAAAAAAUAAAUUCAGGUUUGUAACUUAUGUAGAGAAGGCAAAGCUUUGGAUAUGAUUGAUCCUUUAUUAGAAAAGUCAGAUCCUGCAGAUGGAUGAAGUGCCGACAUGCUUCCAAAUUGGGCUCUUAUCUGUGCAAGAAUGCCAACUACCUACCAUGUUCUUUGGUAACAACCCUACUCUUCCUUCUCCUAAGCCACCUGCAUUUAUUUUGAAAAUUAGCAUGUAACAAUGGUGAGUUCCCAUCAACAUCAAGUGUAGGAAGCUUGUUUUGAAGCUUGCUGAUUGCUCAAGCUCUGAUAAGUUGUAAAAAUUAAUUAUUUUACCUACCAGAGGUAGUGUACACAAAUAUCAUUAAAGUUCUCUCUCUCUCUCUCUCUCUUCUGGUUUUUCUCCAAAGGCAACAAUGACGUAAAAUAUUGAGAAGAACCACACAGUCUAACAUCAGCUUCCUCCAUGUCAAGAAUGAGAUACAAAGGUUGUAGUGUAAAAAGUUUAAAAUAUUGUUCCCUGGAAUGAUCUCAACUUCUUGAUGAUUUGUUUCUGCAGCAUCUGCUAAUGGUUCUUGACCUGUUUCUUUCAGCCCAUAGCUGCUCCAUCCUUGGCCCAAUCUUUUUCUAUUUAUUAUUGCGAAUUAAACGAACCCAUUCCUAUCUGAUCAUGAACUGAUCUCUUGGCACAAGGCCUAGAUAAGACAGCCUGUUCUUGUACUUCUUUUAAUGUUGCUACUACUUAACUAACAGUUCCAAGGUAGCUGAUGCUGAGGGAUAUUUCACAAUAUUCACCAUAUUUUAGGUACCAUUUUAAAUUAGUAUAAUAUAUAAAAUAAAAAAGAAAAUAAAGAUAUUUUAUCCUAGGUUUAUUUAUAUAUAUAUAUUAACUUUUUUUUAUUACUUAUUUUGAAAAAUAAAAUUUUUUAUUUAUAAAUUUUAAAUAUUUUUAAUCAUGAGUAUUAUUAAUAAAUAAAUAAAUAAUUAUUUACUAAAUAUCAAAUUAUUGAAAAUUUUCUAAAUAUCAUUAAAUGUAAGAGAAAAUUUAUAUUUUUUAAUAGCACAUAUAGAAAUAUAAUAUAAUUUUAUUUUAAACAAAUAUUGGAAAUUUGAGAAAUAAUAUUCAUAAGCUUGCAAACUUGAAAAGCCAUAUUGACAUUUAACAAUGAAGGAUUUAAAUGUGGUCUUGAUUUUUUGACGUCCUAAAAACAGGUGAAAACAUAAAAUAACAUUGACUUGACCAACUCCAUGGGAUAUAAGUUUCAAUGUGGUCAAUAGAAUCCAUAAGCAUUAAUCAAUAAUUAAGUGGGUCCUUCUUUCCCUUGACUUGGCAUCGAGUAGGCUAGCGCCAGCCUCAUCUUCGCAUGGGAGACGGCAAAUGCACCAAAUAUAGCAGGAACAAUUGAGCAAUUGGCCAUUGCCAAACACCUCUUUAAGUAAUGCCUUCAUCCUCCCUUCAAAUAUCUUAAAUCGAUUCAAUUUUAGGUAGAUAUCAUUGUCACUUUUGACCCUUACUUUUUAUCAUUAAGCUCCGUCAUGUAGUCGCCACUCGCCAGUUCAAUUCAUGCAUCAAAAUUGAAGUUUAACAGUUGGGUUGGUGCAAUUUUGAAGUGAUCAAUGCUAUGAUAGGUUUAAUGCAACUGCAACUUUGUCCAAUUCAUAAAUGUGGCGUGGAGAUAGUACAAAUGCAAUUCUCACGUCAUUUGCUCCACUUGUUCCUUCACGGUAUGCCUCGUUAGUUUGUGUUGUAGACUUUCUCUGUCUCUUCCACCAGCGCUCAGCAUCGGUAACACGGAAGUCACCACUUUAUCAGGAAGUCACAUAUGCAUCCUGUAAAGAUGUUUCUUCAGUACUUGAUUCUAUUCCUUAUGCUCCCACUUUGCAGCUCCACUGACACCAUAACUCCUAACCAACCCUUCAGAGAUGGUGACCUUCUAGUCUCUAAAGAGUCCAGGUUUGCUCUUGGCUUCUUCAGUCCACGGAAUUCUACACUCCGAUAUAUUGGAGUUUGGUACAACACAAUUCGUGAACAAACCGUUGUAUGGGUUCUUAACAGAGACCAUCCUAUCAAUGAUACCUCCGGAGUCCUCUCCAUCAACACUUCUGGAAACCUCCUUCUGCACCGCGGAAACACUCAUGUAUGGUCCACAGACGUUUCCAUCUCAUCAGUGAACCCUACUGUGGCUCAGCUGUUAGAUACCGGAAACCUAGUCUUGAUCCAAAAAGAUGACAAGAUGGUUGUGUGGCAAGGCUUUGAUUAUCCCACAGAUAAUUUGAUUCCACACAUGAAACUCGGACUGAAUCGGAGAACCGGUUACAACAGGUUCCUAACCUCUUGGAAGUCCCCAACUGACCCAGCAACCGGGAAAUACUCGCUUGGAUUUAACGUCAGUGGGUCUCCUCAAAUAUUUUUGUACCAGGGUUCAGAGCCGCUAUGGAGAAGCGGUCACUGGAACGGGCUCCGGUGGAGCGGUCUGCCGGUGAUGAUGUACAGAUUCCAACACAAAGUUAGCUUUUUGAACAAUCAAGAUGAAAUCUAUUAUAUGUUUAUUAUGGUCAACGCGUCGUUUCUCGAGCGGCUGACGGUGGACCACGAGGGAUAUAUCCAGCGGAACAUGUGGCAGGAAACGGAAGGCAAAUGGUUCAGCUUCUACACAGCCCCAAGGGACAGGUGCGACAGGUACGGCCGGUGCGGACCCAACAGCAACUGUGACAACAGCCAGGCCGAGUUUGAGUGCACGUGCCUGGCGGGAUUCGAGCCCAAGUCGCCACGUGACUUGUUCUUGAAAGACGGCUCAGCGGGAUGUCUGAGGAAGGAAGGAGCGAAGGUGUGCGGGAACGGGGAAGGGUUUGUGAAGGUGGGAGGUGCGAAGCCCCCAGAUACAUCGGUGGCACGUGUGAACAUGAACAUCAGCAUGGAAGCGUGUAGAGAGGAGUGCCUGAAGGAGUGUUCUUGCAGUGGAUACGCGGCUGCAAAUGUGAGUGGAAGUGGGAGUGGGUGCUUGUCUUGGCAUGGGGAUUUGGUGGAUACAAGAGUGUUUCCUGAAGGGGGCCAAAAUUUAUAUGUGCGUGUGGAUGCCAUCACUCUAGGUAUGCUAGCAUUUAAUUGUCAGGAUUCAUGAAUGAUUUCUCUCCCAGAUUUACGAGAUCAUUUAUGAUGUUUUUUUUCGUGUAUUUUUUUAGCUGAAAAUCAAAAGCAGUCAAAAGGUUUCCUUGCGAAGAAGGGGAUGAUGGCAGUUUUGGUGGUGGGGGCUACUGUGAUUAUGGUUCUGUUGGUCUCCACAUUUUGGUUCUUAAGGAAGAAGAUGAAAGGUAAUCAAACAAAAAUUCUUAUGGCUCAUUUAAGCCUUCUAUCCAAUGUUUGUGUCUUGGGCAUGGAUUAACAUGAAGAGAUUAAUAAGAAAAGCCAAACAUUUCUAAGCUCAGUUACCCAGUGAAUUAAUCUGGGAUAGAGUCUUUUUUCCUUGCUUUCAUGGUAUUAAGGAAUUGUAUUAUUUCUUCUUUUUUUUCCCAUUUAUUUUCCCCCACAAUCAAAAAAGCAUUAUUUAUUGUUAUACUUCCAUGACAGGGAGAGGAAGACAAAACAAAAUGUUGUAUAAUUCGAGACCUGGCGCUACAUGGUUGCAAGACUCUCCAGGAGCUAAGGAGCAUGAUGAAAGUACAACCAAUUCUGAAUUACAAUUCUUUGAUCUGAACACCAUAGUUGCAGCCACAAAUAAUUUCUCUUCUGAGAACGAACUUGGACGUGGUGGUUUUGGCUCAGUUUUUAAGGUAGUCAGUCAUUCUCAAAUUUGUGAUGACUAUUGAAAUUGUUGGACUUUCUUUCAUUGCACAAACAUUACGCUAAGCUGAAUUUUUCUAACUGUGAAUAAGUUAAUUCUACAUGACGAUUAUCAGGGUCAGCUAUCUAAUGGACAAGAAAUAGCUGUGAAAAAAUUAUCAAAGGAUUCGGGACAAGGAAAAGAAGAAUUUAAGAAUGAAGCGACACUUAUUGCAAAACUCCAACACGUGAAUCUUGUGAGGCUUGUGGGUUGUUGCAUUACAGAAGAAGAGAAUAUGUUAGUCUAUGAGUACUUGUCAAACAAAAGUUUAGACUCUUUCAUUUUUGGUAUGUAGCAUUUAUUUUUGCCAUUUCCAUUUCUUUAAUCUUCUAAGGUUCUUGCAUAAUCACUUGGAGAAGUUAUUUGCCUAAUAAAAAUCAUUAUUGGUAUAUCCUAAUAUUGUUUUAAUGAUUGAUAUUUUAUAUAUCUUUCGGCCAGAUGAAACAAAGAAGUCAUUGUUAGAUUGGAGGAAACGCUUUGAAAUUAUUGUCGGAAUUGCUCGAGGUAUCUUAUAUCUUCAUGAGGACUCUAGAUUAAGAAUCAUACAUAGAGAUCUAAAAGCAAGCAAUGUUCUACUCGAUGCCGAAAUGUUUCCAAAAAUUUCAGAUUUUGGCUUGGCUAGAAUAUUUCGAGGAAAUCAAAUGGAAGGAAACACAAAUCGAGUAGUUGGAACAUAGUAAGUGUUAUGUUUGAGAUGCCAAAGAAACAUAUUAGUUAAUAUGUUUUAAUAGUUUCUUUUAUUUGCUAUUGCAGUGGUUACAUGUCACCUGAGUAUGCGAUGGAAGGGUUAUUUUCAACAAAAUCCGAUGUCUAUAGCUUCGGAGUUUUGUUGUUAGAGAUUAUUACUGGGAGAAAAAAUAGCACCUAUUAUCGGGACGGUCCAUCCAUAAGCUUAGUUGGAAAUGUAAGUGAGUUGCAUGUGUUGCAUUACUUUUUUUUUUUUUUUUUCAUUCUUUACAGUAAGCUAAUAAUGGUAAAAUUAUCAGGUUUGGAACCUAUGGGAAGAAGGCAAAGCCUUAGAUAUAAUCGAUCUGUCACUACAAAAGUCAUACCCUACAGAUGAAGUAUUGAGAUGCAUCCAAAUUGGGCUCUUAUGUGUCCAAGAAUCUGUAACGGAUCGACCUACCAUGUUGACUAUUAUUUUCAUGUUGGGUAAUAACUCUGCUCUUCCUUUUCCUAAACGACCUGCAUUUAUUUCAAAAACAACUCACAAGGGUGAAGAUCUAUCAUCCUCUGGUGAGGGACUUUUAUCUGUAAAUAAUGUGACUGUGACUGUGCUUCAACCUCGCUAAAUGCUUACACUCUCACAUGUUGUAUGUUUAUCCUCCAUGACAAUGAACACUACAAGAAAAAAGCCUUUCGUUGACAGUUUUUCACCAUCAUGGUAGGGUAUAUCUGUCAAGGUAUAUUACUAUUUAUAUAUGUCAUCUAUGCCAGUGUCAAGAAAAGUUUAAAGUUAUCUUGACAUUUACAUAUGUUAAGGUUGUUUCUAUUUUUACCAAUGAUGGAAUCUUUGUUAGUAUGACAUAUGUCAAUUUUCUUUCACUUUUGUCAAGGUUGGAUUCAACAUAUGUCAAGAUUUCUUGAUCUUAUGUUAAGGUUAACUUGCUCUUCUAUUAAGGUUGCUACAACAAAUGUCAAGGAUAAGUAUAAUAUGUCAAGGUUUCUAGCUAUUGCAAUGUCAAUGUUGGGCAUUGGCCAUCUGUCAAGGUUGCUUAUGACAAAUUUAAUAUUAUUUUACUAUAAUUUUUAGUUUUAAUGGAAAAUGAACCUAUUACCAUAUGAAACUUGUUUCCAAAUUAAAUUUGAUACAUAUUUAAUUAUGAUAAUAAUAACUAAGUCCUAAAACAAUGUAAAUAAAUCAUUACUCAAGGGGAAAAAUCUUUUUCUACUUACUCUCUAUUUUUCUAUAUGCUAAAAAAAACUAAUUGCAAACAUUCAAUUAAGAUAAUAUACAAACUUAAAUUGGAAAGUACAAUACUAUCUUCAUAAGAGGUGGUCACUAAUUCUUCAUCAUCUUCUUCUUUUUGCUAUAUUUCUUGAAUACCUAGUAGGAUAGACACGACAUUAAUAGAAAAGUUAGUAACAAGUAUCCAAAUAGCAAUUUUCAAAUUAUAAGGUACUUUCAAUUGCAAGAAUACAUUAAACAUAUAUGCAAUUUGUAGAUACCAUAUCUCUAGCAUUAAUAUUCAAGCCCGACCCUCUAGAAAGACCCCAAAAUUGUCAACACCUCUAUCUCAAACCUAUGAUAGAAAAAACAAACGAUGUUAACAAAAAGAAAAGCUCAAAUUGUGAAAUUAGAUGUCUAACUACAAUGAAAUAUUUUUAAGAUUGAAUUCUAAGUUUAAUUAUUGUGUUUUUAUAUUAUGGACCUAAAUAACUAUAAUAGUAUACUUCUUUUUAAUUUCUAAAAGGAAUGCAAAAAGGAAAAGAGAAAACAAAAGUUUCAAAUAUAUCUUUCAUGUUAUUUUGGCUUCCAAAUAGAUAAAAACUCAAAUUAUCCAAGAAAUCGUUAAAAUUAAAAUUGAGCAUAAAUUUUAAUCAUCUCAAUCAUAAAUAAUGAAAUAUCUAAAUUCAAUUUCAUAGAAACCACACUAACUAUUAAUUUCAUGCACCAAAUGCAUCUAAUCUUAACAAAAUAAAAAAUCAAGGAUAUUCUCCUUCAAUUCUAAUAGGAUAAUAGAUCUUAUGUGUGCAAAUUUUGUCUUUAUUUCAAGAAUUAAUAAAUGCACAAGCUAUCUAGUUGAGAGCUUAAAUCUGUAAAUUUUUAAAAGAAAUAAAUUAAGUAAAUAAACAAAAAAGGUCUAAGAAAUGGAAAAUCUCCAAAAUUAAAGAGAAAAUCAAGCACAUUUCAUAAAUGGGAAAGAGUUAUGCAAUAUGCUGCUAUUUUUUUCUAACUAAUGUGAAAUUGAAAACAAAUUUGACACAAAGUUGUGUGAGAAUACAUCUAUAAGGUUCAUAGAAAUAAUGUGCAGAUUGCCAUUUAAAGCUAUGUAAACUAAGAAUGACAAAUAGCAAAUUAUAUUAUUUAUAUCUAUCAUACCUUGUUAAAAUACCAUGUCAAAUAUUCCAUAGAUAGACAACUAGGCAUGAGUAUGAAAAUGUUGUCUAGAUGUUUUUCUCAUAGGCAGCUAAUGCAUGAGUUCAUCGAAUUCAAAACUUAACAACAAUUAAAGCUGACAAAGCACCCAAUUAUCAAUUAUUAAAGAACUCUUAAUGGGAGCAAAAACUAAAACUAAUAAAGCAACUAAUAACAAAAUAUAAGAGUUGCAUUGGUACCCAAUAUAAUGUUCUUCCUAAUGUAAUUGUGCUCAUUAAAACAAAAAACUUCACGGCAUAAAUUAAUUGAAGACCCCGUACAAGCAACAAGAAAAUACUUCAUACCAUUAUAGUGGUAAUUAAGGAUUAUAGAAACAAUUUUAGUUGGCUUGUGACUAUGAAUCGAAGAAUUAAAAUUUUGUGAGGGUUGAUUUAUUGCUUAUCAAUAAGAUAGCAUAUCAAUAUUUAACAAAAGAAAGAGUUUCAAGCAAUCAUGAAUCAUAACAUUAAAAUUUAGCCCUAAAAAGAGGGGAAAAAACAAAGAGAAAGAACCAAACCAAAGGAGCCCAACUAAAAAUUCAAGUGCAUAAAUAAGUAAAAUUAAAUAGUUAACCAUAUUAAAGAGAAAACCAUGUCCCAUUAUGCAAAUUGUUUUUGUGUGCCCAAAUAUAUAGUUCUAUUUCUUCAAAUUGCAUUAAAAGUCCAAUGGUAUCUGUAAAGGAAAUAGUAGAGAUAAAAUUUAAACGUAAUCUACUCAUAAUUAUUUCAAUUAACACAUCCAAAUAUUAUGGAUCAACAGAGAAAUCAAUUUAAAGAAAACAAAACAUCAGUCUUUACUAGCAUAAAACGAAAACAAAAGUUUAAAAAAAAAAAAAAUUCAUUAGAUAUCAGAUUAUUUUUGGGGCAACAAAAUUAAGACACAUAAUUGCAUUAACCAUUGAUGCCUAUAAACUCAAUUCGAAACAUAAAAAUGAAAUUGAACAUGAAUUUCAAGCUUCAAAAUUGCGAACCAAAAAAACACUUACAAAAUGUUAGAAAAGAAUGGGAAGAAAAUUUCUAAAAUAGGAUAUUCUAAGAUGCCUUUUUUUAGUUAUCUUUCUUAGUUUUUCUAUAAUCAAAGAGAGUAAAAAAGGAAAAGAAAAGGUGAAGAUGGAAGAGAAUCAGAUAAUAGAGUACAAUUCACCAAUUAUCUUAAUUGCAAUAAUUUUCAAGAUUACCCUUAAGCCAUAUUUGACUCUUUUUUUUUUUCAAACUUUCCUCGCGUUUUAAAAUGAACUUCUUUACAAAUGGAAAAUCCCAUAACUUAACAUAAUAAAUGAUAUCUGUUAGCCCAAGGGUUCUCCUAAUCGGAUUUUGAUGAUAAGAAACCAUGGUUAAGUGACUAAUUGGUUUAAUAGUUAAGAAUCUUAGGCAUAAACUCGAAUAUUCAUCAAAUGACCAAAUGGAUACAACAUCGAGAAUUUUGGAAGACUUGUGAUCAUAGGAAAUGAAUGCAAGAUGAAUGCAUGAGUGCACUUAGGAUUUUCAUACCGUUUCAUGCAACUUAAAAUACUCGGUUUAUUCUUUAAAACUUCAAUUUCAUUAUAACCCGAGUUUUAACAAAUGUAUCUUAGGCAAAAUGUUUUAAAAUUGGCAUAAUAAUUCACUUAAAGACCUUGCCUAAGUGUUAGAAAAGAAAGGAAUUGAAAAAGAUAGGUUUUCGAGGCCAAAAGGCUCAACCGGUCGAGGCUUUGGCCAACCAGCUCAAUCGGUUGGGGAACUAGUCGACCGGUUGCCCUUGUCUGGUCGAGGUCUAGUCGAGAGAUGUCCCAAAUCUUCUCUCUCCUAGUAGCUUUCUCUUCCCGAUCGAGGUUCAUCUCUUCUCGGUUGAUGUUCGAUCGAGGCAACGGUAACCCGUCAAGCAUUAAAUGCUCCAACGGCUAGUGAACCGGUUGACCCCUAGCUCGACCGGUCGAGGUUACCUUUUAUUGUUUUUGGUUCUCGAGCUUAGAAACCUAUAAAUUGAGAGCUCCACUUCAUUUAUUGUAGAAAGAACACUUGCAAUCAAUUGUCUACCUACCUGUUCUUGACCAAAAAGCUCUCAUUUCUUUCUUAAUGCAUUAAAUCAUCACUUGCAUAUCCUUUAAUGCACUCUUGUGUGUCAUCCUAGCUUUGUCUUGUAUUUUGAGCUAUCCUUAAGCUAGGUUGAGGGAUUCAUUCUUGUAAAAGUUGAGUGUUAAAGCCUUUAAGAGGUUUGAAUCUUGAAGAGAUUGUGUAAGAGCCCAUUGGAGCCGGAAUCCAAGUGUAAGAAGAUUGGAAGCUUGGUUGAAGCUUCAAGUUAGUGGAACUCUCACUCGGUUAGGAGAUUGAGGAGAGUGGACGUAGGCAAGGAAGUGUCAAACCACUAUAAAACCCAAGUUUGAAUUCUCUAACUCUACAUCUUUAUUUUUGUUUAUAUUGUGCUUGAACUUGUUGUGUUUGAAAAGAUUUUAAAAAACCCAAUUCACAUCCCCCCUUUUUAAGUGUUUUUCUUAAUUAAGCAUAGCCUUCAUUUUCUCAAUAUCAAAAUAGAGAAGUUUGAACAUAAGUCAAUAGCAUGAGUAUAUUAUUUGGAUUCAUAGAGAUAGAAAGAAACCAAACUCUGUUAUUAUGUUGAAAAACCAAUUUUCCUAAAAGUUUAAACUUAUAGGAUUUGAGGUCAAUGUGUUUUAUGUCUAUUAACACUCAACACAUAUUUCAAUAAAAAAUUUCAUGAACUCCUCAAACAUUUAUACUACAUAUAACUUAGGGCACCAAAGAAUAUGAGUAAAAGGAGUAUAUGCUAGAAGUCAUUAUUUCUAAUGUUUAGUGGAUUUAAUAUUUAUAUUAUUAAAAAUUAAUAUUUAUGUAAGUAAAAAAUAUCUCAACAUAAAAUUAAAAAUUUUGAAUUAUUUCUAAAGAAAUGAAUUAAAUUUAGAAUUUUUAAAUUUUAGUUUUUAUUAUCUGAUUUACUAUUAAAUGCUCAUUGUUUUGGUUUUCUUUAUUUUUUCAAUGGUCUUUUUCCACGAAUUAUUUCAUAUGUCUAUAGUUUUUUCGAUCUUUGACACGUGGAUUAUCUUGGAAAAUGUUCUUAAUAACAAAGAAAUAUUCCUUCUCGUGAUGAGUAUGAACUAGAAUUCUCAUUUUUUAGCGAAUAAAACUCCCCAAUUUGGUGAGGAAAUGAGAUAGUCACUUUUUUUUUUUGUUACUCGCAUUAUGUACUCAAAGUAUUUAUCCAAAUAUCCGAUACACUUACGAAACCACACUUUUCCAUUUCCAUAAUGUAACAUACGUGACGAUAGGCUUGCACACUUGAAAAACAAUAUUGACAUUUAACAUCGAAGGAUUUAAUUAUGGUCUUGUGUUUUUUGGAGGUCCUAAAAAUAGGUGAAAACUUAAAAUAAGAUUGACUUGACCAACUCAACAUGUGAUUACGUUGUAUACGUCGAUGUGGUCAAUAGAAUUUAUUUCCCUUAACUUGGCAUCGAGUACGCUAGUGCCAGCCUUAUCUUCCCAUGGGAACUUGAACAAUUUGAGCAAUUGGCCAUUGCCAACCACAUUUUUAAGUAAUGUCUUCUUUCACCCUUCAAAUAUCUUAAAUCAAUUCAGUUUUAUGUAGAUAUCAUUUUCACUUUUAAACCUUACUUAUUAUCAUUAAGCUUUGUAACGUAGCCGCCACUCGCAAGUUGCAUCAAAAUUGAAGUUUAACCGUUGGGUAGGCACAAUUUUGAAGUGAUCAAGUUAUGAUACGUUUAAUACAACUGCAACUUGGUCCCAUUCAUAAAUGUGGUGUGGAGAUAGUACCAUAGUUUUAAAAGGUGCAAGGCACACCUAAGGCACAAAAGUAUCCUAUAGCUUAGGCACAAGGCACAACACAAAGCACGCACAUGAGUGAAGUGAAACCUAACCUAGUAUGCAUAUCAAUUUUAUAAAAUAUGAUACAAAACUCAAUCCACUCAAUAAAAAAUUUAUUAUUUUAAAAGAAGCAUUCAAAAAAAAGUAAUAAAAUUAUGUAGAUUUUAAUAUACAAUUAGAAAUUUCAAGAAUAAAAGUGUUUAAAAAUGAAAAGUAAAAUAGACAAGGCACGCCGCUUCAACAAGGCACAUGUCUUGGCAAGCAAUGUGCUAUAGCUAGGGAGUGGUUGUGCUUUGAGCCUAAGCGUGCUUUAAGCAAGCCUUUUAAAACUAUGGUUUGGUAACCGUUUUAAAAAACAAUCCUGAAAAAUAGUUUUUGAGAACAGUUUUUGAAAACUAUUCUCUGAUUCUUGUAGAAUAAAAGUAUAUUUGGAAACCUAAAAUGUUUUUAUCUUGUUUUUAAUAUUUUUAAAUAUGUUUUAAAAAUAAUUUUUAUAUCUAGUAUUUUAUUUUUAAUCAUUUUAUAUGUUUGUAUAAUUAUUUCUUAAAACAAUUAUCAGAAAACAAGUGAAAAAGUCAUAAAAUAAUUUUUAGUUGUCAAACACCUUUUCUAUGUUUUUUGUUCUAGAAAACAAAAAACUAUUUUCAAAACCAGUUCCCAAACAUGCCUUUAAUAUGGGGUUGAAUGUAUUUUUUUUUUUUUCUUGCUUUCAAGGUAUUAAGGAAUUAUAUUCUUAAUUUUUUUCCCAUCUAUUUUCCCCACAAUCAAAGAAGCAUUAUUUAUUGUUAUACUUCCAUGACAAGGAAAGGAAGACAAAACAAAAUGUUGUAUAAUCUGAGACUUGGUGCUACAUGGCUGCAAGACUCUCUAGGAGCUAAGGAGCAUGAAGAAAGUACAACCAAUUCUGAAUUACAAUUCUUUGAUAUGAAGACCAUAGUUGCAGCCACAAAUAAUUUCUCUUCUAAGAACGAACUUGGAUGUGGGGUUUUGGCUCAAUUUAUAAGGUAGUUAGCCAUUCUCAAAUUUGUGAUGAAUAUUGAAAUUGUUGGACUUUCUUUCAUUGCUCAAGUAUCACACUAAGCUGAAUUUUCCAUAAAAUAAUUCUACAUGAUGAUUAUCAGGGUCAACUAUCUAAUGGACAAGAAAUAACUAUGAAAAGAUUAUCAAAGGAUUUGGGACAAGGAAAAAAAGAAUUUAAGAAUGAAGUAACACUUAUUGCUAAACUCCAACACAUAAAUGUUGUGAGGCUUUUGGGUUGUUGCAUUCAAGGAAAAGAGAAGAUGUUCGUUUAUGAGUCCUUGCCAAACAAAAGUUUGAACUUUUUCAUUUUUAGUAUGUACCAUUUCUUUUCUAUCAUUUCCAUUUCUUUAAUCUUCUAAGGUUCUUGCAUAAUCACUUGGAGAAGUUAUUUGCCUAAUAAAAAUCAUUAUUAGUAUAUCCUAACAUUGUUUUAUUGAUUGACAUUUUAUAUAUUUUUGGGCUAGAUGAAAAAAAAAAGUCAGUGUUAGAUUGGAGAAAACGCUUUGAAAUUAUUAUGGGAAUUGCUCAAGGAAUCUUAUAUCUUUAUGAGGACUCUAGAUUAAGAGUCAUACAUAGAGAUCUAAAAGCAAGCAAUGUUCUACUAGAUGUUGAAAUGCUUCCAUAAUUUUCAGAUUUUGGCAUGGCUAGAAUAUUUGGAGGAAAACAAAUGGAAGGAAACACAAAUCGAGUAGUUGGAACAUAGUAAGUGUCAUGUUUGAUAUGCCAAAGAAACAUAAUAGUUAAUAUGUUUUAAUAGUUUCUUUAUUUUCUAUUACAGUGGUUACAUAUCACCUGAGUAUACGAUGGAAGGGUUAUUUUCAACAAAAUCUAAUGUCUAUAACUUUGGAGUUUUGUUGUUAGAGAUUGUUACUAGAAGAAAAAAUAGCACUUAUUAUCAUGACAAUCCAUUAACUUAGUUGGAAAUGUGAAUGAAUUGAAUGUGUGUUGCAUUACUUUUUUCUUUUCAUUCUUUAUAGUAAGUUAAUAAUGAUAAAAUUCAUAGUUUUGGAUCCUAUGGGAAGAAGACAAAGCCUUGGAUAUAAUCGAUCUGUCACUUGAGAAGUCAUACCCUGUAGAUGAAGUAUUGAGAUGCAUCCAAAUUGGGCUCUUAUGUGUGCAAAAAUCUACAACAGAUCGACCUACCAUGUUGACAAUUAUUUUCAUGUUUGGUAACAACUCUUCUCUUCAUUUUCCUAAACGGAUUGCAUUUAUGUCAAAAACAACUCAUAGGGGGCAAGACCUAUCAUCUUAUGGUGAAGGAAUUUUCUCUAUAAAUGAUGUGACCAUGACUUUGCUUCAACCUCGCUAAAUGCUUACACUCUCACAUGUUGUAAGUUUAUCCUCCAAGACAAUGAAUUGUAUACACUAUGACAAAGAGAACACCUUUUGAUUUAGUGAUCAUAGUUAGAUAAUUAUCAACUCUGUAAGUGUAUGCUCAAAGAUAGGGCAAGAAUGGAAGCUUGUAGGUAUAGUCAAAUAAUCGAUUAAGUAUGAUUAGCUCUCAACAUUAAGGCCCUAAAAUCAUAUAAUUAAAAUGGUUCAAAUGGAGCUAAUAGUUCAAAUAGUUCCAUAUGGGUAAUGGAAGAGCUUAGAAUGAAGCAAUGCGUUGGUUCUUAUGCUAUGCCUAAUGAUGGAAAGACUGAAUGUUCAAUUGGUAAAUCUUCAAAUUUUGAAAAUAAUUGGAGACUAUCACGAGGCAUUUAUCAUAUUUUCCUUUUGCUAGGAUGAUCAAAUCUACUUUCUCUUUUAAAUUCAAGGCAUACUCGUGGUUCCUAAAAUGAAUUACUAGGGCUAUUCACUUUUCUUAUCAAGUAGUGAGUGACAAUUGGAAAAUAUGCCCAUUUGAAUUUUGGAUCGUUGGUUGCCUUUACCAUAAGGCAUCUUAGUGUUGUAUUGAUUCCUGAAAUAGUCAAUAAAUGAAAAGAAGUUUUUCUAUUUUGGGCAUGGCACAUGAUAUCAAAUUUGGCAGUAGAUGGAUGUUUAGUAUAUGAGCAUCUUUAUUGCAAAUAAUUUUACAAAUUUUCAGUACAUUCUUCAUCAGAUUUCUACUUUUGAUCUAUCAAAUACUGUAGAUGCUCGAACAUGGGUGUCGACUACAAGGUAUGACUUCAGAUCCAAGACAUCUGAAAUUCAAAGUUAAGAAUUGAUUACGUGAAUCAAGGGGGAAAAUAUCAUUAGGAAAUGAAUUUUUUUUUUAGAAAUGAUAAUUACGAAGACUUUAGAGAGCGAAAAGUUGAUUGACCUUGGGUAUAGUUGGACAAUCCAAUUGAUUAUACUAUCAUCGAGUUAGGUUGGGAGAGUGAGAGCCAACAUAUUCAUAACUUUAAGAUGAAAAUUGGUUUAGUUUAAGGACCUCAGGGCAUCCCUAAUUUGGUUGGUUUUUAGUACUGACUAAUGGUAAGAUUUUCUUUUCUUUUUUCUUUACUUUUUUUCCAAUCUCAUUGACAAAUGAGUGACAAUGAGUGUUAAAAGAAUAAUUAAAGAGACAACAUUACUUCGAGGCGGGGCACAAGGGAAGAAAGACAACAAAAAGUGUUAUAAUUUGAGUUUUAUUGCUACAUGCCUCAAAGAAUUAGUCCCCAAGAACAAACGAGUGAAGUGUAAAUAGUGUAAAUUCUAAAUUAUCAAGGAAUUCAAGAUAAGGAGUAGAAGAAUAUAAGAAAACAUGAAUAUAAGGAUCCUGUGAAGUUCUUAGGUUGUUGCAUAUAAGGAGAAGAUAAAGAUGUUAGUCUAAGAAUACUUAUUGAACAAUAGUUUGAACUCUUUUAUUUUCAUCCUAUCUUUUUUUAAAAAAAAAAAAAAAAAUUUGACAAUUUCUAAAUCUCUUCAUCUCUUUUGCUUGUGAUCUCACUGUUAUCACAUGGAAAAUUUGUUUUACAUUAAAACUAUAUAAUAGUAUUUUAAUAUGGUGUCAGAGUCUCAUUUGGUGUGAGAUCAUGUAUUCAAAUCUCAUUGUAUAUUUAUUUUCCAAUUUGUAGUUGUUUCCCUGUUGGGGGUCACACGCGAGGAAGGGUAUUAAAAACCAUAAUAUAGCUUACGAACUCAAAUCUUAUAAGUAGAAGCUUUUAGAAAAAAAUAUAAUUUGUUUAAACCUUUAGAAAACCUGUAGUUUAACAUGUAAACUUUCAUAUUUUUUGUUUUGAUGAGACAAAAAUGUCAAAUUUAGAUUGGAUAAAAAAUUUCAAAAUUAUUGUUGAAAUUUCUUAAGGACUUUUAAGUUAUGUUUGGUUUCUUGAAAAUAAUAUGAAACAAAAUUAUAAGAAAAUGAUUCCCUCUUGUUUAACUUAUUAUAGAAAAUAUUAUAAAAUUUUAAAUAUAAUUCAAAUGAGUAAUAAAUUAACGUAUUUUUAAAUUAUUUAAUCUUUAUAUAGAAGAGAAAAAACUAUUUUUUAUUUUUUUUCACUUUUUGUUUAGUGUUUUCUAUCCCUUACAUUUUUCGUCAAAUCUUCCAAUAACCAAAUAUAGGGUUAUAUCUUCAUCAAGACUUAAACCAUACAUAGCGAUAUAAAAGCAAGCAAUUAAUAUUCUACUAUAUACUGAAAUGAUUCCAAAAAUUUCAGAUAGAUUUUGGUAUGGCUAAAAGAUUUGGAGGGAACCAAAUAGAAGGAAACACAAAUCUGGUGAGGUUGGAACAUGGUUAGUGUCAUGCACCAAAUGUCAAAACACAACAUUGAACAAAUCUUUCCAGUUUGUUUUAUUUGUCACUGCAGCAGCUAUAUAUAACUUUUGUGUCAUCUGAGUAAGUAAUGGAAGGGUUAUUUUCAAUAAAAUAUGAAGUUUAUAGCUUUGGAGGUUUUCCUAUUAGAAAUUAUUUUGGGAGAAAAAACAAUUAAUGCUCACUACCAUGAUAAUCCCUCCUUGAACUUGGCUGGACAUGUGAGUUAACUGAAUUUCUUAUAGCUUACUUCUUCUUCACUGUAAGCUGAUGCUAUAAAAAAAUAAAUUCAGGUUUGUAACUUAUGUAGAGAAGGCAAAGCUUUGGAUAUGAUUGAUCCUUUAUUAGAAAAGUCAGAUCCUGCAGAUGGAUGAAGUGCCGACAUGCAUCCAAAUUGGGCUCUUAUCUGUGCAAGAAUGCCAACUACCUACCAUGUUCUUCGGUAACAACCCUAAUCUUCCUUCUCCUAAGCCACCUGCAUUUAUUUUGAAAAUUAGCAUGUAAUAAUGGUGAGUUCCCAUCAACAUCAAGUGUAGGAAGCUUGUUUUGAAGCUUGCUGAUUGCUCAAGCUCUGAUAAGUUGUAAAAAUUAAUUAUUUUGCCUACCAGAGGUAGCGUACGCAAAUAUCAUUAAAGUUCUCUCUCUCUCUUUUCUGGUUUUUGUCCAAAGGCAGCAAUAACGUAAAAUAUUGAGAAGAACCACACAGUCUAACAUCAGCUUCCUCCAUGUCAAGAAUGAGAUACAAAGGUUGUAGUGUAAAAAGUUUAAAAUACUGUCCCCUGGAAUGAUCUCAACUUCUUGAUGAUUUGUUUCUGCAGCAUCUGCUAAUGGUUCUUGACCUGUUUCUUUCAGCCCAUAGCUGCUCCAUCCUUGGCCCAAUCUUUUUCUAUUUAUUAUUGCGAAUUAAACGAACCCAUUCCUAUCUGAUCAUGAACUGAUCUCUUGGCACAAGGCCUAGAUAAGACAGCCUGUUCUUGUACUUCUUUUAAUGUUGCUACUACUUAACUAACAGUUCCAAGGUAGCUGAUGCUGAGGGAUAUUUCACAAUAUUCACCAUAUUUUAGGUACCAUUUUAAAUUAGUAUAAUAUAUAAAAUAAAAAAGAAAAUAAAGAUAUUUUAUCCUAGGUUUGUUUAUAUAUAUAUUAACUUUUUUUAUUACUUAUUUUGAAAAAUAAAAUUUUUUAUUUAUAAAUUUUAAAUAUUUUAAAUCAUGAGUAUUAUUAAUAAAUAAAUAAAUAAUUAUUUACUAAAUAUCAAAUUAUUGAAAAUAUAUCAUUAAAUGUAAGAGAAAAUUUAUAUUUUUUAAUAGCACAUAUAGAAAUAUAAUAUAAUUUUAUUUUAAACAAAUAUUGGAAAUUUGAGAAAUAAUAUUCAUAAGCUUGCAAACUUGAAAAGCCAUAUUGACAUUUAACAAUGAAGGAUUUAAUUGUGGUCUUGAUUUUUUGACGUCCUAAAAACAGGUGAAAACGUAAAAUAACAUUGACUUGACCAACUCCAUGGGUGAUUACGUCGUAUACGUCGAUAUAAGUUUCAAUGUGGUCAAUAGAAUCCAUAAGCAUUAAUCAAUAAUUAAGUGGGUCCUUUUUUCCCUUGACUUGGCAUCGAGUAGGCUAGCACCAGCCUCAUCUUCGCAUGGGAGACGGCAAAUGCACCAAAUAUAGCAGGAACAAUUUGAGCAAUUGGCCAUUGCCAAACACCUCUUUAAGUAAUGCUUUCAUCCUCCCUUCAAAUAUCUUAAAUCGAUUCAAUUUUAGGUAGAUAUCAUUGUCACUUUUGACCCUUACUUUUUAUCAUUAAGCUCCGUCAUGUAGUCGCCGCUCGCCAGUUCAAUUCAUGCAUCAAAAUUGAAGUUUAACAGUUGGGUUGGUGCAAUUUUGAAGUGAUCAAUGCUAUGAUAGGUUUAAUGCAACUGCAACUUUGUCCAAUUCAUAAAUGUGGCGUGGAGAUAGUACAAAUGCAACUCUGUCUAAAGCUUUUGUCAUUUGCUCCACUCGUUCCUUCAUGGUAUGCCUCGUUAGUUUUUGUGUUGUAGACUUGCUCUGUCUCUUCCACCAGCGCUCAGCAUCGGUAACACGGAAGUCACCACUUUAUCAUGAAGUCACAUAUGCAUCCUGUAAAGAUGUUUCUUCAGUACUUGCUUCUAUUCCUUAUGCUCCCACUUUGCAGCUCCACUAACACCAUAACUCCUAACCAGCCCUUCAGAGAUGGUGACCUUCUAGUCUCUAAAGAGUCCAGGUUUGCUCUUGGCUUCUUCAGUCCACGGAAUUCUACACUCCGAUAUAUUGGAGUUUGGUACAACACAAUUCGUGAACAAACCGUUGUAUGGGUUCUUAAUAGAGACCAUCCUAUCAAUGAUACCUCCGGAGUCCUCUCCAUCAACACUUCUGAACACCUCCUUUUGCACCGCGGAAACACUCAUGUAUGGUCCACAGACGUUUCCAUCUCAUCAGUGAACCCUACUAUGGCUCAGCUGUUAGAUACCGGAAACCUAGUCUUGAUCCAAAACGGUGACAAGAGGGUUGUGUGGCAAGGCUUUGAUUAUCCCACAGAUAAUUUGAUUCCCCACAUGAAACUCGUACUGGAUCGGAGAGCCAGUUUUAACAGGUUCCUAACUUCUUGGAAGUCCCCAACCG
rnacentral:lncRNA from 1 species